UACCAGCACCCCGAGUGGUCGGGACGAUUAUUGGGCCUAAAGCAUCCGUAGCCGGUUCUACAAGUCUUCCGUUAAAUCCACCUGCUCAACAGAUGGGCUGCGGAGGAUACUAUAGAGCUAGGAGGCGGGAGAGGCAAGCGGUACUUAGUGGGUAGGGGUAAAAUCCGUUGAUCCAUUGAAGACCACCAGUGGCGAAGGCGGACUUGCCAGAACGCAC
rnacentral:rRNA from 1 species